rnacentral:sRNA from 1 species
ACAACUGAUGAAACCGCUGUGGUGAGCAAAGGUCAAAGGAGAAGCUUGUUCUUAAAGUUAGGAAACAGAAACAACCGUGCGAUCGCUUGCGAAAAUGAGAUGGUUGUUCAGAGGGGUCGGUUUGGAAGUAGAGAGUCUCAUGUAACCCAGACUGACCUUGAAUACAUCUCAUAAUCAAGGCUGGCCUUGAACACGUGACUAGACCAUCUGCUCUCUUCUGUUGGGAUGGCAGGUUGAGAACCACUGAUCUACAGAGGCGGAAUUUCAUCACAAGGAAUAUCUCCUGGAGCAAAGCUGCUAAGCACACCGCAGCCAGGAGACAGCAAGGCAAAGAGAAGAUUCAGGAAGGUUCUGACAGCCCGUGGAAGGGAGCUCUAGACCGCCAGGCUCCUUCCAGCUUCCAGAAGGACUCAGCAUCUCCCAGUACUGCGAGGCUGAGGACUGAGCCGUCACCACGUGGGCUUCGGGGCUGGUUUUCUGAGCCACUGUGGGCAGUGCUGCGGUGAACACGGAUGAACCACCGCGCUAACACACGUCCACUUGGAGUUCUUCAGGUGUGCUGAGGAAACAACAACAAAAAGAGUCUGAUGAGCUGGGAGACGGUUCAGUGGGUAAUGUACUUGAUGUCCAAACAUGAAGAUCUGAUUUCAAGUCCCCCAAACCCACGUGAAGACCCUGCUAUGGCGGCAGAGCCUGUAACACCAGCACUGACAGCAAAGACACGGAUUCGCAGGCCAGACAGUCCAGGUUCAGUAAGAAACAUUGACUCAAAACCUAAACAAGUAGUGGUGCCCACGAGUGUGUGUAACAAUAGCCAUGUAAAAAGGAGGUCAUGAACUUGAGAGGAAUUAAGGAAAGGAAUUCAGGAGAGGCUAAAGGAGAACAUGGAAGGGAUUGGAGGGAGAGGAGGAAUUAGGGGGAUUCAAAUACUACAGUGAAAGUUAAUAAAGGCAGCAUCACUCCUCAGACUUUUCUAAAUGAAAAACUAGAGGAGGGAGCACUUUCAAACCUGCUUUAUGAAACAAAAUAUGAUGCCACAAAAGGAGAUAAAUUAUGUAUCAAUAUCCUGAUUACCUUGGAUGUAAACUCAACAAAGCAUGCUAGUGUGGGAGACAGGUUUUGUUACAGUACCAAGUGUCCCAGACAAACAACUUAACCAGAGGAAUCAGUUACUAUGUUCUGGUUUAUGGUUUCAACAAUUCCGCCUGUGGUGGCGGGAGCCUGUGGCAGAGGAGACUUCCCUCCCAUGGCUCCCAAGAAACAGAGCAGAUAGGUGACUAUGACCCAGGCAGUUUUCAAAGGCCCCCAGCACCACAUUUUCUCCUGCUGAACCCACCUCCCAAACUGGUUCCACCACCUGGGGGGCACCUUCAACAGAGGAAUGGAUACAGAAAAUGUGGUACAUCUACACAAUGGAGUACUAGUCAGCUAUCAAAA